rnacentral:lncRNA from 1 species
AUUCCUCUUUCCUAUGAGAGAAUGCUUGAGCCCACCGCAGGCCAAGUCGUAAGAAGAGAUUCAACCAUAUCGCCAUCGUCGCCAAAGCUCAUUUGCGUCGUCCACGGAUUUCUUCUGGAGCGCGACACACCGAAGCUUCCUCCUGCUUGAAUCUGGUGAGAAUCAUUUCCCCCAUUAGGUUUUUCCACUAUUCUUCGUAGUUCAUCGGAGUUCAUUGAAGUUCAUCGGAUCUCAUCAAAUAUUUAGUCAUAGAUCUAGUCGCCCCAUGUCCUUUUGUCACUAAUACAUAGUAUAUCCUCCGUCGUAUUCUUGUAGUACUAUAGAUCCAUAAUAUUUUACCCAUGGAAUUUCACGAAUACUUUACCUCGGGUGCUUCCUCUAGUUCUUAGGGAUUUCAUUUACUUUUCUCAUAUUUAUUAGAUCCAUUCACCGUUCUAUCUUAGGAUAAAAUGGUUUAUGCACGCGAAAAACUGCCAAGUCCUUUAGAUCUUGGGUUCACCAUUAGCUGACUUGUUUCAUUGCUUGUCAACUUAUUAUCGUGUCGGCUCAUCUAGUAAUACCGACUCGUCCAACUUGCGGGCUUAUUGGAGAAUCCUGUCACUAGCUGUUUAUCUUAAAUCCAUAGUAGAAAAACUUCUGAAAUAUCUGUUAAAUACUGGCUCAAUCUUGUCGGCUCAUAAAACUGUCUUAACACUGUCGUCCAGGUCCAUUUCAGCUCUGAUAAUGACGACCUAGACAUCUGUAUCCAGCUUGUACUUCUACUGUGGCUUAUUAAUCUCAUGACGCGGAUGUUCCUUCAAGAAAAUGCAGCUCAUCUUGUAUAAACAUAGUUUAGCCGGCUCAUGUACUUUUACUUUCACCAUGCAAUUGUCUUGUAAGAACAUUGAUAUCCCCAAAGACCGACAAAGCUGUUGGCUGGGUUCCCACAUGCAGUGCUCACACUAGACGAUCUUGUGAGCCAGGGUCUUUUGUCGGCUUAGGCACAGAUCAGCUGGUGAGCUCCUCAGGAAGAAGCUUCCCACUGACCUCAACAGGGGGAAGUUGUUGUUUUUUCAGUUGCACACAGGCUUUUGACCACGUGGAUCAAAAAAAUCAGAGACAUGCUCAACAUUUUCAACCUUAGACGUCAAGAUAUCGACCCCAACACCAUCACAAACUUUGUGAGUUCCAAGUUCUUUGCGAGGUGUAUCUCCAGAUUGAGCCAACCGUUAAUCUUUUCCGAGAGUUUUUUAUAUCAACCAUCAGAAUGAGUAAAAGAUGGACCCAGCGUAGAGCUUGGUGGAAUUUCAAUUCAGAAAUGGUAAAAUAGUGUUUUCCCUGAAGCCAAACCGGCAAGUCAUCCCAAGGGUUGGGUCAAGACUUCGUCUUGCUGUAAAAAGACUACCCCUCAAGGUGAAAACACCCUAUCGGGUUACAGUCCGGAAUGACUCAAUACUACUGUCGCUUUUCUGGGUUGGACAUCCAAUGAAGAAAAGAAUUAGAUGGCGCCUUAUUGCCUAAGGUUAGGAGCAUUGACGGCUCAUGGUCUCACCAGGUUUGAUCUAACAUGGUGUUGGAUAAGCGGGCGGAUUCAGCCCCUUAGCUUGAGGGGCGAUUUAAUGUGCAAUUAUACUGGUGACCCGGAAGAUGUGCAUCGCUUCAACCCGAUCAAUUUAUCUGAAGAUGAAGUCACUAAGAACAUGAAGAAAUUUCUGAGUGACUUCAAGGACAAGUGCAACUUGACUGGGCUCGCUCCCUUUUGCCCGACUAAUCAUGUCCCUCCAGUAAUCAUUCUUAGGCUUGCUUUUAUAUUUGUCUCUUAUAGCAUAUCUUAUUUUAGUGUACUUAUUCUCCGGCUUAACAUAUGUGUAGGCAGAUUUUGACUUGUGGAAAGUUUGGGCCCAAAAUCCUGCUCCUCCCCAAGCUGAGCAAGAGAAUGAGACGGUGGGUGAGGCGACUGCUGGAAGAGAGUCAGAGGUAGAUAUCGACUCACUUGGUCGUCUUUUUAUUGAACUUGCUGACCCUCUUGAUUUUGAGGAUAAAACCGAGACCAGCCAAGGCGACAAUGUGGACAUAAUUUGAAUCUCAUGCAACUCAUCAAAAACAUAUGUCCCGAAGAGAACGAGACUAGCCGUCUGAAAGGUUGUGUUUUCGCUUCCACACGCUCACUUAUAUCCAAAAUUUCUUUUGAAGAAAACUCAACAAACCGGCAUGUCAAAGCGCAAGACCCAGAGCAGUUCUCAGGAGUUAUCUGUAGGCUUAUCAUUAGAGACACCUUCCCCGCAAACAACGAGUCGAGGUGCCUUAUAGUCCAACUCCAUCUCGUCCAUGAUCCGGUCUUUUUAAACAACGAAUCAAUUCUUCUGAUUUGAAUUAUCAGGAAACAUUUCCUUCUUCUAGAGAAUCGACCGCAACUCAGCUCCCUGCUUUCACCAUUGUCGUGGGUAAGUAUCUUUGAGCCAUGCUUUUUUCAUUUUGUCAUCAUAGUUUCUUCUUCAACCUAAUGUUACUAUCAUGACUGUAGGGCCACUCGCAAAGAAGAAGAUCGGCGGGUCAUUUUCAGCUACUGUAGGCCCCAAUACUCAAGACCCUCAUGUGGUCGACCCACAGACCCAAGCUGAUCAUGUUAGCCAGGAUAACCCAGAUAUUGGGGUUGAGCCGGUGCAUGAAAAUGAGCCAGUUCAUGCUCAUGAACCAAUGGCAAUGGAAGAGCCAGCUCUAGGAGAAAAACAAGCAACUAGUGAUGACCCGACCCGCCACGUUUACCCGUCGAGUCCUGCUCGCACCUCCAUUCCUGUGCAGGAGGAAAAUAAUAUUGUCUCGUCUCACACGAUACAUGAUGCAGAAGUGACCAUUAUUGGAGAGGCUCAUAAAGCUCGAGAAACCUCAACUGCCCUAACUAAGGUUCUGGCCAAGGAUGAGCCGGUAAUGACAUCUAAGGGGAAAACCAAACUAUAGCUCCCAAGCUUGGACAAACUUGGUGUCAACGACCUGCAUCAGCAAUAGUUGACCCAGUUGUCUGAUAGCCAAGAUGCUGAAGUGAGCUUGAUAAGUAUGCUCAAGCGGAAAUAUGAGGUAUGAACUCCCCGUUCCCCGUCCUUUGUUAUGUAUACUCUUAUAGCCCCCAAGGGCUAGAUCAAUGCGAUAAGUAGUGAUCUGGGUCUUGUUCAGAAAUGUCUUUUAAUUUUUGAGAAGUGACAAUAGCCCCCAGGGAUUGGGUCGUUAUGAAAAUAACAAGCCAAUUCUUUAAUUCGUCUAGAUCAAUAGUGUAGAAAAUACCACCUGUAGCCCCAAGGGUCGGCUCAUCCCCUUGAGAUAACCAGGUCUUCUCAUAAGUGAAGAAAUGUCUUCCAUUAGGCCCCAAGUGCCAUGUAGAGUACUUGCAACUGUAUGGGACUUGAACAUAAAGCAAAUUUUAUGUGUUGUAUCCCCAAAGUGUCGGAUCAUCUGCUUGCGGAAUCUCGGGGCUUGUAAACAGCCUUUGAUAAUUUGUGAUGUGCAACAGAUGUUGGAUGAGGCCGAGUAGUUUGUGUCCAACUUGGAUAAGAAACUCAAGCAAGAAAGAGAGCUUAAGAAGAAAGCAAAAAUCUUGGUGGCUAAUAUGCAAGAAUCCUUACAACAGCCCGCUGGUAUCUUGCACGAGCCCAAGUCUACCUUCGAUGAAGAAUAGGCCGUCUUGCAGGAAGGUGCAUAUGUAGUAGAAAUCCAACUUGGCUCAGUAAAAGAGGAGUUGAAGACUCUCAAUAAACACAUCACCAAUAUGACUUUGGCUACAUUUGGUAUGUUAUAAUGUCAGUGUAGUUAUAAUCUCGGUUAAGUUAUUCGUUGACUUAUUGAAAUGUCUUUCCUUUGCGUAAGUAGAAGAAGUGAUAAUGCUAUUCAACAUCCGAUGUUUAAAUUGAAGACCAUAUUCACAUACCUAGGGAAGAUGCUCACAUGAUGUGUCUAUGCAAUAAUAGCAGUGAAGAAUCUCACAAAGCCUCCUCUAUGGCAAAUGAUAUGCUCAACGAUUUAUCACAGUUCUUCAAUGGAUCCAGGAAAUGAAGAGGUCGAUGGCUUGUGAUGGGGCCAACAUGGCACAUGCUCGUGCAAAGGCUUAUUUUUCUGAGAUGGAGCCAGAGGCGAUGGAGGGCGAGUUUCCUGAAUUUAGCCUUGACGUCUCAGAAUUUUCCCACGAAGAUAAGCAUGGUGUCUCAAACAAACCCGAGUGUUGGCUACUCAACUUGUGAAGUACUGGACUUGUCAAAAUAUCAAGCCAGCUACUUCAAAGAAAAUAAGCGCAUGAACUCGCCCGGCGACAAGCCAUUCGAGCUUAUGCCUCCAUAUCAUAAGCAAUGCUUCGCCUCUAACGUUGAUCCAUCUAUUAUCAUCCAUGUGGACUCAAUCUUCCAGGAUUUGACAACCAUCUAAUGGUCACAAAAUGACCUCCAGACCGAACAGGACGAGCCGGCUCAAGUUGAUCCAGAAGCCUCUAGUGCAGAAGGCCAACAGAAGGACAUCAACCCGGAGGACUCAAGAGCCGGUGCGCAGGAUUACUACUCUAGCUUAAAAAACUUUGAUGAUUCUAGGGCCCAAAUUGGGUUCGUAAUAGUAGUAGCAAAAACACUUGGUCAUCUAUUGUGCCAUCAAGCACUUUGUACUUUGAAGUGUCAUCUUCUAAAGACUAUGAGCUGGUGCUUUUGAAUAGACAAACUUCUCUACCUAGUUUUCUUCAUUUUUAAAGAUAAUGAGUCGGCCUUUUGCAGCUAUAAGUCGAUAGGAUGAGAUCGUGUCGACGG